AUUGAACGCUGGCGGCAUGCUUUACACAUGCAAGUCGAACGGUAACAGGCCUUCGGGUGCUGACGAGUGGCGAACGGGUGAGUAAUGCAUCGGAACGUACCCAGAGGUGGGGGAUAAUGCAGCGAAAGCUGUGCUAAUACCGCAUGUGAUCUGAGGAUGAAAGCGGGGGACCGAGCAGCAAUGUUUGGCCUCGCGCCUUUGGAGCGGCCGAUGUCGGAUUAGCUAGUUGGUGGGGUAAAGGCCUACCAAGGCGACGAUCCGUAGCUGGUCUGAGAGGACGACCAGCCACACGGGGACUGAGACACGGCCCAGACUCCUACGGGAGGCAGCAGUGGGGAAUUUUGGACAAUGGGCGCAAGCCUGAUCCAGCAAUGCCGCGUGCGGGAAGAAGGCCUUCGGGUUGUAAACCGCUUUUGGCAGGAACGAAACGGUGUCCGCUAAUACCGGGCGCUAAUGACGGUACCUGCAGAAUAAGCACCGGCUAACUACGUG
rnacentral:rRNA from 1 species